AGAGCGAACGCUGGCGGCAGGCUUAACACAUGCAAGUCGAGCGGUGAUCCUCCUUCGGGAGGUGAUCAGCGGCGAACGGGUGAGUAACACGUGGGCAACCUGCCCCUCACACUGGGAUAACCUCGGGAAACCGGGGCUAAUACCGGAUACGACCUCGAGCGGCAUCUCCUGAGGUGGAAAGCUCCGACGGUGAGGGAUGGGCCCGCGGCCUAUCAGCUUGUUGGUGGGGUAAUGGCCUACCAAGGCGACGACGGGUA
rnacentral:rRNA from 1 species